UUCAAAUUUUCAAUUUUCAGUAUUUUCACUUCUAUAAAAAACAUUGACUCCUUUAAUUACAGAAAAAUUGGAAAAAUAUUUGUUUAUGUUCUACACCGUUGUAUUUUUGAUUAUUGGAUUGUCAGUGAUGGCUUGGAGGAGUCAUGGUAUAAAUAACGCUGAUUUGGUGCGCAAUCUUAAAGCAAAUGGCAUUAUUAAAUCUGACGCAGUAGCAAAUGCUAUGAACUCUGUGGAUCGUAAGAACUACUGUCCCUAUGCUCCGUACCAUGACUCUCCGCAGUCUAUUGGCUACUCUGCCACCAUCAGCGCCCCACACAUGCAUGCCCAUGCACUGGAAAGGCUUAAAAACCAAUUAAUUCCUGGAGAAAAAGCCUUAGAUGUUGGCUCUGGCUCCGGAUACUUGACUGCUUGUAUGGCGUUCAUGGUUGGAGAGACCGGCCGAGUCAUAGGCAUAGAACAUAUUCCCGAGCUGGUGCAACUAGCUACUAAAAAUAUUAAGAAAGAUAAUCCUGCCCUGCUGACUUCUGAGCGCAUUAAAUUGAUUGCGGGGGACGGGCGAGUCGGUUACGAAGCUGAAGCCCCAUACAAUGCUAUUCAUGUUGGAGCAGCCGCACCUACACUUCCAGAAGCUUUAAUAGAACAGUUGAAGCCGGGAGGCAGACUCAUAGUUCCGGUUGGGCCGGAGGGCGGAGAGCAACAUUUGACACAGGUCGACAAGGCAGCGGACGGGUCACACACGGUCAAAAAGCUGAUGAGCGUCAUCUACGUGCCUCUGACCGACAAGGAGCGGCAGCACCGUGAGUGACCGACAUACUUGCUCGUGGCCGGCGCACUGUUCUGCCUGGCGCUCAUAUGCUGGUACAAGGAUCUCUUGCGGAAACUCUGGCGAUUAAAGUAGGCCGUGUAUAUAUGUUCCAUAUCACUAUUUACUAUGAUAUACUUAAUAGUAUUAAGUCCUGAUUUUUAAGAGAUGCUUUACAUUUUCAUUUUGCCGUUAAAAGUCCGCAGCGAGCUCGGCCGAAUUUCACCAUGCCAUACAAACGGAGUUUUGUUCUCAUUUUAAAACUACGUUGUUGGAUUUAAAUGAAACUAAGGUAAGUCAAUAAAUUUUUCGUGUGAUGGCUCCAUCAAGGUGUUGAUGAUUCUGCCAAUGUCCAGGUUGGAUAAGACACGGCUAGUAUAUGAAUCUUAUCAUAUUACGGUCAUAGACAGUGUUCGGUGGAGUAUCCGAUAAAUCUGCAAAGAAAUACAAAUUACCACUAACUAAUAGACUACAUACAACUAUUAAACAAUAUGAACACUACACUAUGUACAGAACAAACUACAGUUAAGUAUUAAAUCUACGAACUUAUUGUACAAUAAUAUGAUACAUACUACAAUUUAAGGUAAGUAAGGUUGCCAGAGCUCGACGAGGGGAGGGAGGGUUGUUAGGGUCGGCAACGCGCAUGUAACUCCUCUAGAGUUGCAGGCGUACAUAGGCUACGGAGACUGCUUACCAUCAGGCGGGCCGUAUGCUUGUUUGCCACCGACGUAGUAUAAUAAAAAAACUUUGCACAUACAACGGCAUGAGGUGAGGUGAGGACCUAUAUGACACAUUACAAAAUAAAAAUGAUUACCUAAAAACUGAAAAUACAUUUACAAUACCAAUACAAAUACUCUUUAUUGCACACCUCAAUACAGAAACAGUACAAAUAAUACAACACAUAAAGAAGAGGUAAACAACAGGCGGUCUUAUCGCUAAAAAGCGAUCUCUUCCAGACAACCUUCCUCCUUUCCUUUUUUUUUGUUUAUCAUUCAAACAAAAAUUAUUCAGCUACAAACAUAUUUAUUAGGUACACAAAUAAAUUGUAUAAUUAUUAGCGGCACUAAGUGGAAAUCAUUAUGCCUAUAAUUAGUUUAUAUAGCUCCAACUUAUAAAACAAACGCAAUAGAGCAAAAACAAGUUUUGUAUGAAAAAUGUAGAUUCGCUGUAUUUUUUAACCAACUUCAAAAAAGGAGGAGGUUCUCAAUUCGACUGUUUUUUUUUUGUAUGUAUGUUACUCGAUAUCUCCGAGAAUCGUGAACCGGUUUUCAAUAUUUUUUUUAAUCGAACGGGUAUAACCCCGAGAUGGUCCCGUUGGCACCAAGUCGGGGUCUGAUGAUGGGAUCUUGGAGAAAUCGAGGGAACUCUUCAAAUGUUAUAGGUACAUGUAUGGCGCUAUUGGUAAUAUUUAAAGUCGGUUUUAUUUUUUGUUUCAACUAUGGUAUCUAAAGCUAUAUAAACUAAUUACAGGCAUAGAUAUACCUUAUCCUAUUGUAAGUACAUAGUUUCAGAGCAAUCUAGCUAGCCGAUUUAAAAUGAGAACGUAACUACGUUUAUUUGGAGAACCGAGCUUGCUGUGAACUCUUAAAAGUAACGUUCGGCAAACCAAAUAUAAGAUUGAAAUGUACCAUACUUUUUUGAAAAAAAAUAAUGUAUUAAUAGUACUGUACUUGUAAUACAAUCUUGUAGUACAGUCGGCAUCCUAGCAUAAAUUUCCACUUUUCUAUACCUAGAGCUAUAUGGAGACGUGGGUAGAUACUUAAGUACGAUAUACGUGCUGUUGACGGACUAUUAGCAACAACAGUACCGUGAGUGACCGGCAUAUAUUACAGAGUGAGUGACCGGCAUAUAUUACAGAGUGAGUGACCGGCAUAUAUUACAGAGUGAGUGACCGGCAUAAACUGUGAGUUCUGCUAAGACUGCUCUGCUUAAACUACUUGAGAUUCAGUAAUUCUGGGCAUACAAGAAUUCUCUUAACAAUAAUCCCUUUUCUUAAUUGACUUAUAAAUAAUUAAAAAUAAAUAAAUUACCAUUAUAAAUUACCAUUUAUAUUGUUAAUGCCUGAUUAUUUAAUUUUAAUGAACACAGCCGUAUUAAUUAACACCGCUCCAUUUACUCCCCAAACUACCCUAUUGUGACGUCAUUGCGACAAGAAUUCGGAGUCUUAAUAGGGUUGUUUCCAUCUACAAAUCUUAGGGCAGAAAAGUAUCCCAAUAAAUUCUUAUGGUUUAUAAUAACAUGUUAAACUACCUUUAGUGGACCCCUAAAUUAGCAUAUUUUUGUAAAUAUUGAAUUUAAAAUAUCUUUUAACACACGUCACAUGACCCAAGUCGAUACGACAUUGAAGAUUCUGAUGACGUCACAAUUCACGGUUUGACACUGGGCUAUAACCGCGAAAAUCGAAGUUCGUCAUUGCGGGCAUUUUUUUUCUGUCAUUCUAAUUACGUCUUAGUAAGAGUAAAAGAGAAAGAUACCCACAAUAUACGAUUUUCGGGUUCGGAAAACCCACACGCACGCAUACACGCCCACCACCUAAAUGGCUAUGGCUUGUGUAUCAAAUUUUGUACUGAGAACAGACAACUGGGGGCCUUGGUGUUACGUCUGUAUGUACCUAUAUACUUACUUUACUCUUUGGUGUGUACAUAGUUCUGUGUCAUCCCGUAAACUGUGACGUCAUACAAUUAUCAAAGAGCGUUUUGGGCGCGAAAGCAUGGGUCAAAAUAUAUUUUGUUACUUUAACAUAUUUAAAGCCGUUUUUAGGGUAAAAGUUAAAUUUUAGGGCAACGUUUGGUUAAUAUAGAACGUAUUACAAGCGUUUCAAAAAAAUGCUAACAACCCUAUUGUAUGUAUCCUGGUACAGUACAGUACCAGCAGUGGUUCUAUAUAAAUGAAUCCAGCUUUACAUCUAUUGGUAAGUUCUUAUUUCUUUUGAACAGUGAUCGGAAUAAUACAAUGAAUUCAAUGAGUCCAAUACAAUGAAUUCAAUACUUAAGAGGUGUAAAAUAAUUUUUUUUUUUUUAAACGAGACACCAAACACCCUGUUUUCAUGUUCUGCUUUUCACUUAACGUUCAAAACGCUUAGUGGCCCCUAUUUUAUUUCGAUCAGUAUAUAUAAAAGUUAGAAAAAAAAUGGUUGUUUCAUUUUACGCCUAUUUAUUGUAUUGAACAAAACGAGGAAUGCAUUGCUUUUUACCGUAUUUAUAACAAUGUUGUUUACUUAGUACGUACGUUUCCGGGACUUCCCCGAAAAAAAUGGUAUCGGAAGGCAGUCUCCACUUUAUGACUUUGUUCUACCAAGUUUAGGUAUUUAUAUUCUGCCUACCGUGGUGGUUUAAAAGCAAAAAGAUAAAUACUAUGAUGUAGAGACUAGUAAUCAUAAACCAAUAUAUUUAAUUAAGUAUGUAUUUCUAAUUGUAUAUACCAGUUUCCAACAAUAGUCCGCAACAACAGCGGGGUGUUUUGCGGAUUUAAAUCAUUGUCGUACUUUUAUGUUUGAUUAGGCGGGUCCACACAGAGCGAGCAUACGCGCCAGUGUAGACGUGCCGCAGCCGAGGCGGCCCGCACAUUUACUUCGCCCAAGCGCGACCUUGGCCGAGCCGCUCGGUGUAGGUUUUUCGGCAUGCUCAAAGGCGCCUCAGACGUUUGCCGCGCGCCAGUGUAGACGUAUGGUGCGCUUGGUUAUUUUGUUUAUACUUACGCAUUGUGUGGACCCGCCUAUUAGAAAAAAUCACCAUUAUGAUUAGGAUUCUUAUUUUAUGUCCAAUCCAGCAAAAGGAGAGCAACCCUCAGAAUAGUGCGCUGGUCACACAAACUAGUUCUUAAGUAUUUCAAUGUAAAUGACCGAAUUAAUCAUUCUCAUCAAGACUUUAAUGUAUAAAAUGAGGGGAGAUAUAUCUGCUUAAUAUUCCAGGUUGUAUUGUUUUUGCAAAGAAUUUCAUUUGUAAUCAUCAAAAUAUAUAUACGGUGUUUCACUAGGAACACAAACGAUUUUGAUUGUGUAUUCCGUGUGUGUAUUCCUGAUCAUAUUUAAAGACUCAAAUGUCCUAUAAACGUUUCUAGAAUUCGCCUAGUUUCAGUUAAUGCCAAUUGAAAAAGAAAACAUUUUUAUUGUUACUUAGCGCUAAACGCCUUUUCGAUGGCGAUGUUGCUACUAUGGGACGUAGUCUAAAUACUCUAAAAUAUCCUUAUUGAUAGAUGUAAAAAGUGACAAAUAAGUAAUAACACUUUACCAAAAACUAAGGUUUUACGAAAAAAAAGUGAAAAUUCAUUUUAAGUGACAGGUUUAUACAAGGUGCCCGUGAGCAUUGCGAGAGAUUUUAACGGUGCAUUCCUGGUAAUAUUUGGAAAUUAAAAUGUCACAUCAAAUUUUCAAGAUUUUAAUUAAUUUCAGAUAUAAUUAAAUGUUUUUUGAAAUCAUUCUUUCGCCAUAAGUCGGUACAAAACACAUUUUUGACUGCGGUAUUGCCACUUUGAGGUCUAGUACAUACCUAUUGAUUGACAUCGAAAAAUUAAAAAAAUGUAUUCGAGAGGCUACCCCCAAAUAAAAAAACUCUUUUUGGUUAAUCUUAGGUUAUGCAUUUAUCCAUAAAAAUUACGUUUUUUGUAUUUUUUUUUUAUCGAAUUUCACAAAAACUCAUAUAACAUUUUUGCUUCUGUUGCCAUCAGGAAUGCACCGUUAAAAUCUCUCGCAAUGCUCACAUUGGGCUCAAUGGGCUCAAUGGGCACCUUGUAUAAAUAACAUUUGAAUUUACAAAUAAACGAAAAAAAAAAUUUUUUUGGCGAAAUUGACCUAAAUCUUUCGGGUUCCCCGUAAUACAUCGUGUAUGUAUGUAUAUCCAGUAGGCUUAGCACAAGUGCGCCUCGACAGUAUCUCACGCAAUUGUAUUCAUUAGAGAUACCUAUAGCUGCUGCUCGAUACAACGUUGGCGCAACUGCGCAGUGACGCCAUUUUCCAUAGCGCUGACUAGACGCCGACGCUCAAAAGACCCUAGUGUGGGGUGGCCGUAAGUCUCGCACGAGGUACUGUCGCGGCGCACUUUUGCUAAGCCUACUUUAACCUUAGGUUUAGACACUUUUCUGUAGUUUAGUCCUAUUUUCAAAUAUUUGUAAUUAUUUAAUAUUGUUAAUCCAAUAAACUUAAACACUUUAAACAGCAGGUUUGCAGCCGUUUCGAUAGUUCUGAUUUGCCCCAGUCCAAUGAAAAAGGUACUUGGCGUUUUUAAUUCUGAAAUUAAGAAGUGCACUGCCUUCGUUCCUACUGAACCUAUGACCUGUCUAUACUCCUAAGACCCUGCGUACAAAUUCUUGUAAAGUCGCGAUCAGAUACAUCGGAGCGGUCAAGGCGUUCACAAAUAUCUGAACACGCCUCUAUUGUCAAGGCGUUAGAGUGCGCGUUCAGAUAUUUUUGAGCACCUCGGCCGCUCUGAUAUAUCUGAUGGCGACUGUACAUAUGUGAUUAACAAUCUAUUUUUAACUUUUGAUGUGUAACUAAGGGUUCCAAAUUCAAAAACCAAAACGCUUUUGGGUCUCCGGAUGGUAUAAUAUUGGACUGAGCUUUAAAAUGUAUAAGGUGCUUUAGGGUAACUUCGAAAGCGGGGUCAUUUUGAAAAUCACUAAUAUUCACUUAACUAGAAGGACUUUGUACUGGUACAGUCAGCAUCAAAAGUAGCGUAUCAAACAACGCUUCAAAAGUAUCUACCAUUCUGUAACAGCUUAACAAAAAGUGAUGGUUCUCUUUGUAGAACAAAUGAGAUUGUAAAAGAUAUACUUUUGACCGUGAUUUUUAAAGAUUAGUCUAUUUGGAAAAGUUAUCCGGAUUAUCAGAUACUUUUGGCGCGUUGUUUCAUCAGCUACUAUUGAUGCUGACUGUACCACAGUAAGACAGAUGCCUUAAUAGCCAGCCAUAUAUCACAGUUAUAAUAUUCAACUCUAUUGAUAGCUAUUAAAGUUCAAAUUGAAACAACCUUACUCAUAAAAAUAUUAAGUACUCUGUUGUCGAAGUAACCCCAAUGCAUUUUAAUAAAACACAAUGUAUGUAUAAUUUGAUUUAUUCCUUAUAAAUUAUUGUAUAGCUCAAAAAUAAAUUAAGAAUCAAUGACA